UCAAAUUUGCCAUACGCAGUUCUGAUUCUUCUAUUGCAUUUAAUCAAAUUUGAUGCUUUGCUUUUCUAGCUUGUGACAAUUUUCAAUUAAAAGCUGUUUGCUAUUGUACAGCUCUGACAGAAUUAACGAUCACUAGUAUGGUUCUUAUUGAACUGAAGAUCAAUUAAAUAUUUGUACUGUGGUUUUUGGAUCUUUCGUAGACCUCUGCCCUGCCAUUUCUUUCAUCUUCAUGCUUUGCAUUUUUCUUUGAAUUGAAGAUCCGCUAAAACAUAGUUUUCUCCAUGAAAUGAGCUGUGGACUUAUUCUCUUAGCAUUCUUAUGGAGGCUGUUCAUAUGUUUUGGAUUUGGUGUCGAAGCACCAAAGAUGACCUUUAUGUCGGUCCCUGGAUCCCAGUUCAUGGGUAGCUUUGAUCCCGGUGAAUAAGUAAAGUUAGGUCAUAGUCAUCCCGCGGAGGUGGUUGUCCAAUUUGCCAGUUAAAUGCCAUGCAACUGAGAUUGAUUGUGAAUGUCAAGCAUAUGAUUUGUCCUGUUUGACUAAGCCACUAAAUCAAGCAAUGAUGCUUCCUAAACCUUUGAUUUUUUUUUAUUAUUAUUA